UGNUCUGUCACUGACGCUGAGGCUCGAAAGCGUGGGUAGCGAACAGGAUUAGAUACCCUGGUAGUCCACGCCGUAAACGAUGAGUGCUAGGUGUUAGGCCCUUUCCGGGGCUUAGUGCCGGAGCUAACGCAAUAAGCACUCCGCCUGGGGAGUACGACCGCAAGGUUGAAACUCAAAGGAAUUGACGGGGGCCCGCACAAGCGGUGGAGCAUGUGGUUUAAUUCGAAGCAACGCGAAGAACCUUACCAGGUCUUGACAUCCCGAUGCUAUUCUUAGAGAUAGGAAGUUACUUCGGUACAUCGGAGACAGGUGGUGCAUGGUUGUCGUCAGCUCGUGUCGUGAGAUGUUGGGUNNNNNNNNNNNNNCGAGCGCAACCCUUAUUGUUAGUUGCCAUCAUUAAGUUGGGCACUCUAGCGAGACUGCCGGUAAUAAACCGGAGGAAGGUGGGGAUGACGUCAAAUCAUCAUGCCCCUUAUGACCUGGGCUACACACGUGCUACAAUGGUCGGUACAACGAGUUGCGAGCCGGUGACGGCAAGCUAAUCUCUGAAAGCCGAUCUCAGUUCGGAUUGGAGGCUGCAACUCGCCUCCAUGAAGUCGGAAUCGCUAGUAAUCGCGGAUCAGCACGCCGCGGUGAAUACGUUCCCGGGCCU
rnacentral:rRNA from 1 species